GAUGAACGCUGGCGGCGUGCCUAAUACAUGCAAGUCGAGCGAACGGACGAGAAGCUUGCUUCUCUGAUGUUAGCGGCGGACGGGUGAGUAACACGUGGAUAACCUACCUAUAAGACUGGGAUAACUUCGGGAAACCGGAGCUAAUACCGGAUAAUAUUUUGAACCGCAUGGUUCAAAAGUGAAAGACGGUCUUGCUGUCACUUAUAGAUGGAUCCGCGCUGCAUUAGCUAGUUGGUAAGGUAACGGCUUACCAAGGCAACGAUGCAUAGCCGACCUGAGAGGUCGAUCGGCCACACUGGAACUGAGACACGGUCCAGGCUCCUACGGGAGGCAGCAGUAGGGAAUCUUCCGCAAUGGGCGAAAGCCUGACGGAGCAACGCCGCGUGAGUGAUGAAGGUCUUCGGAUCGUAAAACUCUGUUAUUAGGGAAGAACAUAUGUGUAAGUAACUGUGCACAUCUUGACGGUACCUAAACAGAAAGCCACGGCUAACUACGUG
rnacentral:rRNA from 1 species